AAGUUUUGGACUCAAUCCAAGAUCGAUUGGUCCAUGAAAUGGGACAAUUCCGGUUCGUAUGAAGUUCGUUCCAAAAUGGAGUGGUUGGUGUAUUGCAUAGUUCUAGGGAUUGGAUUUCACUCAAAACCCACCAAAUGACUCCUCCCACCGUAUUAUGAUGUUCCCAAAGUUUUGGACUCAACCAGAUGUUGAUUGGUCCAUGAAAUUGGAUAAUUCAGGUUCGUACAAAGUUCGUUCUCU
rnacentral:lncRNA from 1 species